UAAUAGACAAUGGAUGCAAGGAAGUUUCUCAUAUGAUGAUAAACUUCAAUUAGAAGGACAACUCUAGUGAGACUAAGAAGUUGCUCUUCUCAAAGGGAACGUGCCCUUUGACUCCCAAAGAAAUAAUGCGUAAAUAGAAUCCUUUAUGCAUACGCAGAAAAGGUGAUUUAUGUAUUUCAUAUUGUAUGAAAAACAUUGAUAUGAGUUG
rnacentral:lncRNA from 1 species